ensembl:lncRNA
AGUGGUAGUUCUAGUGGUAGUUAUAGCAUGAGUAUGGUAUUAGUUAUAGUGGUAGUUAUAGUGGUAGUUAUAGCAUUAGUUUGGUAUUAGUUAUAGUGGUAGUUAUAGCAUUAGUAUGGUAUUAGUUCUAGUGGUAGUUAUAGCAUUAGUAUGGUAUUAGUUCUAGUGGUAGUUAUAGCAUUAGUAAGGUAUUAGUUCUAGUGGUAGUUAUAGCAUUAGUAAGGUAUUAGUUAUAGUGGUAGUUAUAGCAUUAGUAUAGUGGUAGUUAUAGUGGUAGUUAUAUCAUUAGUAUAGUGGUAGUUAUAUCAU